UUGUAUCCAGUACUUCUUGUCUCAUCACUACAGUUCCUGAUGAAGAGUCCCUCUCCCAUUUCCUUGUUGGCUCCCUUCAGGGUUGCUCUCAAUCACUUAUCUGUCCAGCGUAUUGGUGUUCCUGGGAUUGCCAAGACCCAGCUGUAGGACCUGGCAUUUGGAUCUGUUUGGCUUCAUGAGGUUUGCCUCGGGCCACACUCAAGCCUGUGAAGGUCCCUUUGGAUGGCAUUGCUUCACUCCAGCGUUUCCACUGCACCAUACAGCUUGGAGCUGUCAACAGAUUUGCUGAGUCUGCAGGCUCAGAGGAAAUGUGAAUUCAGAUGGCAGAAUCUUUGUGUUGAGACAGGCUGGGAGUCAAACAAAUAUCUUGAGACCGGGAUCACUUUUGAUGCUUUGCCUCACACAGGAAAGGGCUGUCUGUAUGAUGUUCAUACUUCACCAUCAGAAUAUGUGUCUGCCCCUCUGGCUUUGAAAAUUGGUUUACUGAUGUUAUCCAUGAAAACAAAAUGUCACCUGAGCAUAAAGGAAUAGUUCUGCUGGUUGCUGCCAUGCUCUACAGAAGGAACUGUUGCCUUCCUGGUGGUGUUGGCUCCUUUUCCAGGAAUGUAGCAUGUUUUGCCCCUGCAGUAGAUAUUAUGUGACUUGAAUGAAUCACUUAGAUUCACUACCCUUCAGAGGCACAAGUAGUAACCGAUGUUUACUUUUGUCUGUUCAAUGCUUAUAAAAUGUUCAGUUUUAUUCCUGGAGCAUCCUCUCAUGUGAGGGUAAGGCUAUUUUCUGAAGAAAUUUGCAAGUAAAAUGCUCUU